CUUGGUGCAGUUUAGUGGCAGAGCACUUGCCUAAUGUGCACAAGGCCCUGGGUUCCAUUCCCAGCAUCAAGA
rnacentral:tRNA from 1 species